rnacentral:rRNA from 1 species
CUUGACAUCUUCUGUCCACUCUAGAAAUAGAGCUUCCCCUUCGGGGGCAGAAUGACAGGUGGUGCAUGGUUGUCGUCAGCUCGUGUCGUGAGAUGUUGGGUUAAGUCCCAUAACGAGCGCAACCCUUAUUGUUAGUUGCCAGCAUUCAGUUGGGCACUCUAGCGAGACUGCCGGUGACAAACCGGAGGAAGGUGGGGAUGACGUCAAAUCAUCAUGCCCCUUAUGGGCUGGGCUACACACGUGCUACAAUGGACGGUACAACGGGUUGCGAUGCCGCAAGGCGCAGCGAAUCCUACAAAGCCGUUCUCAGUUCGGAUUGUUCUCUGCAACUCGAGAGCAUGAAGCCGGAAUCGCUAGUAAUCGCGGAUCAGAAUGCCGCGGUGAAUACGUUCCCGGGCCUUGUACACAC